AAAUGCUUCGUCCAAUUCCUGUGGCCUUAGCAUCGUGCACCCGGUUCUUUGAAGCAAUGUCUGCCAUGAGGGAAUCAUUUUCGACACUUCAGCAUCUCAGAGUUGGUCAUACUGAUGCGUCAUCACCUAUAACACCAGGCAAGGAUUCUUCCCGAAGAAUACCAGGUGAUUCCGAAUGUGUAACUCCACCUCCUUGGAGAAGUGAACCAAGCUUUGAUGACGUAGCUAUCAGAAGCUCAAGGAGGCCUGAAGUCGAGCAUCGAGAAUCAGAGGAUGAAAACAGUGGGGUGGAUGGAGCUAGCCACCGGACAUUGUCAUGGCCUCCGUCAGUUAAAAACAACGGUGUUUAGUCAGACUGACAUUCGUUGCCUGUGACUCAGUGUAUGUGUUUGUGUGAAAUAGUCAUUGUAAUGGGCCUUUGCGAAAAAAAUGUGCGGAAAUGUUUUGAGUUAAUCCUGCCAAACUUAUAUUCUUUUCGUAGGAUUUGAUAGGCAUUUUUGUAUCACGAGCAGAUUUCGUUGGGUUUUAACAAUUGUUGUUAAUGAGAUUUGAGCUCGAGAAGUGGAGGCUGAGUGUUGAGUGUCGAUAAACCAAAUGAUCAUGUGAAGAUCUUGUUAUUCUUUGACCUUGUAAAAAUAAGACAUUCAGAAGACACCACCAAGUUAUCAGUAGCUCUAUACAAUUAUACAGUCAAUUCUCAACAGAUCAGCCAGUAACUCCAGGAAGGUUCUCUCAAAGCCCCUUUCACAUUUUAGGUAUUGUAGUUGGGAAGUGAUUUUCCCGCAAUACUUUUAGCUUCUCACAAACUCCAAAUCAAACGCAACAUAUAAAAUUAAACAGACGUGUGUGAGAAACUAAAAAUACUUUAAGAAUGUACAUAACGUCGACGUCUACAAUACUUCUUUCAUAAUAACUAAUCACGUUAUUGGUAUGUCUUAACAAAUUAAACUUUACAUGAACAGGAGUUUAAAAAAAAUAAAAUUAAAUGAGAGCUAUUAUUAGCACUCGAAUAAUGUCGUUCUACACUACUACUUUUAUAUGUGCAAUAUAUUUCUUCAAUAAAUAAAUAAAUCCUAUUUAUUUAAAAUAUUUUCAUAUGACAUUGGUUGCAUCCUGUGCAGUUCGUACGUGAAAAUGAAAGAUCAAAUGCAAAUAUUAUGCACCCAUCUCAAUGUGGUGGUAGGCUGUAGCAACAAAUGCAUAUAACUUCGCCGCGUUAAAUGUUCCAAAUUCUGCUGCACCUUUCACAUCUCCCACCCUAAAAAGAUGUACUGCCUUGUGAUACGUAAAAAGCCCAGAACGAGAGAAUUAGAUCUCAUAUGGAUUUAUUUUGUGAAGAUUCUAGAGAUCUUCACAUCUUAGUUAUUUAUCGUAUAUCGAUCGCACGAUGUACGAUAAACAGUUAGGAUAUGGGGUUCCUUAGGAUCCCCACAAAGUGGUUUCGAAAAUGAUCCUCUUUCCAAAACGAGGAGCUAUAACUUGGUCUGGAGAUGGUAAUGGUUUGUGCUUAGGUUUAUCCAUAUCAUGUUGUAUUCGUGUCAAAUCAUGAGUUGGUCAACAAGUAAAACGAUAUGUAAAUUAAUAUCGUGCAAAAAGAGCUUACACGUUAGCCUAUAUAAGAGUCUCAAACUCAGCACUUCAAUUAUCAUACAAUCAACUAAACCAAAAUAACACAUUGAAACAAUUCCAAUACCUUAACGUGCAACAACAGAAAAUCAAAACUUAUGUGACCGAUUGAAACUUAUCCCAAACUUUAAAGGUGUGAAAUAUAGUGAACCCAUUUUUGUACGGAUUUCAAGUUAUAUAACACGUUGUGUUAAAAAAUGCAAGCUCUAACUAUGACUCACGAGCAUUCACCCAAAAGUUCAGCUCGAACUAUUGCAAAUGACGCUUUACUAAGUGAUGUAAAAUAAUACUAUCUAUAUACUCUUGUGCAUGUUCGAACUCUACCGAUACCACUUAACCAUUAACUCAUUAAUGCUAAACAAUUGAAGCUGCAUUUAUUAUGCUAAAAAAGUCAAGCUGUAGUUGAAAUAAAAUUUGAUUGAACAAUUGAAAACCAUGUAUAUUAUUAUAUCAACGUCAUCCAUAAAAAAUUAAUAUUGUUGCCUUUGCAGCUAAGAAACGAACCACCCCAACUUCAACAUUCCUAUUUACAAUUAUUAACCAAGUUUGUCAAAUAUUACAAAAUCAAUCAAAUUAUCCAAACAACCUCUCCUCCUCCUCCUCCUCCCAAUUGACACGUAAUUACCAUAACCAAGUGCCACCACCAAACUUUUAGACUUCUAGUAAAGAAGAGAUUUUUCCGUGUGACCGAAACACAUGAGUCAUCAAAUGAAUAAAAAGGCAAACAAAAACGUAUAUACUCUUUAACAUGAAGAUAUUUAAAAAAAAUACCGUAUUAACUUAUUCCUUGCCGUGUACCUCUCGUAUCUCUCUUUUCAUCACAUUAUUUGCGUAACUUAUUCCUUGACGUGCAGUGACGUUCUGUAACAUGGCCUUUGAUACUUCUGUUUUUUUCUUCAGAAAUGUUUGGAGCCACUGGCUUCCUCCCAUCUUAUGAAAUUAUCCACAUCCCCGGCACAUGAAUGUCACUGCAUCUCUGGCCUUGCUCCAUUAUUUUACCUAAGGAUUUAUAUCUGAUCUACCAUGUACUGCGAUCAGGAUGUGAGAAUCCAGAAUACAGAUAUAUAGAACUUUUACGUUGGGAAAUUACUUGUGCAUGAUGUGAUCUUCAUUUUGUAUAACUGACGCAGGAAAUGCUUCGUCCAAUUCCUGUGGCCUUAGCAUCAUGCACCCGGUUCUUUCAAGCAAUGUCUGCCAUCAGGGAAUCAUUUUCAACACUUCAGCAUCUCAGAGUUGGUCGUACUGAUGCGUCAUCACCUAUAACACCAGGCAAGGAUUCUUCCCGAAGAAUACCAGGUGAUUCCGAAUGUGUAACUCCACCUCCUUGGAGAAGUGAACCAAGCUUUGAUG
rnacentral:lncRNA from 1 species